rnacentral:rRNA from 1 species
UACGAAGGGGGCUAGCGUUGCUCGGAAUUACUGGGCGUAAAGCGCACGUAGGCGGCUUCUUAAGUCGGUGGUGAAAUCCUGGAGCUCAACUCCAGAACUGCCUUCGAUACUGGGAAGCUCGAGUCCGGGAGAGGUGAGUGGAACUGCGAGUGUAGAGGUGAAAUUCGUAGAUAUUAGGAAGAACACCAGUGGCGAAGGCGGCUCACUGGCCCGGUACUGACGCUCAUGUGCGAAAGCGUGGGGAGCAAACAGG